CUCCGGGCCGGGCGGUAGCGGCGGCCAUGGCUGCGGGACGGGAGGUGCCCGUCCGAGAUGGGGCCGUGCCCGAGCCCUCGUCCGCGGCCGGGCCCGUACCGGUACCGGUGCCUGGUUCCGGUGCUGGGGCCGGGACGGGUCCGGGUCCGUGCCCGCCGCCACCCGCCUGAGAGCCUUCGCCUGGUGCCGGGAGUUCCUGGCCGGUUCCUGGAAGCUCAUCACGCCUGACGAGUUCGGCAUCGAGCCUGUGAGGGCUUGGACUCGCUGGUGCUGCAGAGUGUGAUGUUCGCGGUGCUGGCAGAGCGGGCGCUGGGGCCGCGGCUCUUGGGGGUGUUCCCAGAGGGGCGUCUGGAGCAGUACAUCCCGAGCCGGCGCCUGCGCACCGAGGACCUGCGGGACCCCAACAUCUCCGGGGAGAUCGCGGUGAAGAUGUCCCGGUUCCAUGGCAUGGUGAUGCCCUUCAACAAGGAGCCCAAGUGGCUCUUCGGGACCAUGGAGCGGUGAGGGUGGCUCCUGACGCCUGGAAUCCGGUGGGAUCCAGGGACACAGGAGGUGGUGGGAGGCAGCAUCCAGGGGUGUCCAUCCAACCACCGCACUCAUCUCCCACCUGCAGGUACCUGAGGCAGAUCUCGGAGCUCAGCUUCCCCCAGGCAGAGCAGCUGAGGAAGCUGAAGCAGCUCAGGAUGUACAACCUGGAGGCAGAGAUGAGGAGCCUCCGGUGAGCAGCACUGCACUGAUCCUGUCUCAUUGCUGAGCUCCUCACAGGAGCCAGGGGGGACCCGGCUGCUCUGGACCUGGUCUGUUCCAUCCAUGUCCUUGGUGGAUGUCACCAUGGGACAGUCUUGGAAGGGUCCCUGCAUCCCUGGGGCAGGGUCUCUGCCAUGGUAGAUAUGAGGCAGAAGCAGCUGCUUCAGUGGAAGAGGUCCCUGCC
rnacentral:lncRNA from 14 species